rnacentral:rRNA from 1 species
GGACGAACGCUGGCGGCGUGCUUAACACAUGCAAGUCGAGCGGUAAGGCCCUUCGGGGUACACGAGCGGCGAACGGGUGAGUAACACGUGGGUGAUCUGCCUCGCACUUCGGGAUAAGCCUGGGAAACUGGGUCUAAUACYGGAUAUGACCAUUGAUCGCAUGGUUGGUGGUGGAAAGAUUUAUCGGUGCGAGAUGGGCCCGCGGCCUAUCAGCUUGUUGGUGGGGUAAUGGCCUACCAAGGCGACGACGGGUAGCCGGCCUGAGAGGGCGACCGGCCACACUGGGACUGAGACACGGCCCAGACUCCUACGGGAGGCAGCAGUGGGGAAUAUUGCACAAUGGGCGAAAGCCUGAUGCAGCGACGCCGCGUGAGGGAUGACGGCCUUCGGGUUGUAAACCUCUUUCGACAGGGACGAAGCGCAAGUGACGGUACCUGUAGAAGAAGCACCGGCCAACUAC